rnacentral:rRNA from 1 species
AGAGUUUGAUCCUGGCUCAGGACGAACGCUGGCGGCACGCUUAACACAUGCAAGUCGAACGAGAGAAGAGGAGCUUGCUUUUCUGAUCUAGUGGCGGACGGGUGAGUAACACGUGAGCAAUCUGCCUUUCAGAGGGGGAUACCGAUUGGAAACGAUCGUUAAUACCGCAUAACAUAAUUGAACCGCAUGAUUUGAUUAUCAAAGAUUUAUCGCUGAAAGAUGAGCUCGCGUCUGAUUAGCUAGUUGGUAAGGUAACGGCUUACCAAGGCGACGAUCAGUAGCCGGACUGAGAGGUUGAUCGGCCACAUUGGGACUGAGACACGGCCCAGACUCCUACGGGAGGCAGCAGUGGGGAAUAUUGCACAAUGGAGGAAACUCUGAUGCAGCGAUGCCGCGUGAGGGAAGAAGGUUUUAGGAUUGUAAACCUCUGUCUUCAGGGACGAAAAAAGACGGUACCUGAGGAGGAAGCUCCGGCUAACUACGUGCCAGCAGCCGCGGUAAUACGUAGGGAGCGAGCGUUGUCCGGAAUUACUGGGUGUAAAGGGAGCGUAGGCGGGAUCGCAAGUCAGAUGUGAAAACUAUGGGCUUAACCCAUAAACUGCAUUUGAAACUGUGGUUCUUGAGUGAAGUAGAGGUAAGCGGAAUUCCUAGUGUAGCGGUGAAAUGCGUAGAUAUUAGGAGGAACAUCAGUGGCGAAGGCGGCUUACUGGGCUUUAACUGACGCUGAGGCUCGAAAGCGUGGGGAGCAAACAGGAUUAGAUACCCUGGUAGUCCACGCCGUAAACGAUGAUUACUAGGUGUGGGGGGACUGACCCCUUCCGUGCCGCAGCAAACGCAAUAAGUAAUCCACCUGGGGAGUACGACCGCAAGGUUGAAACUCAAAGGAAUUGACGGGGGCCCGCACAAGCAGUGGAGUAUGUGGAUUAAUUCGAAGCAACGCGAAGAACCUUACCAGGUCUUGACAUCGUAUGCAUAGCUCAGAGAUGAGUGAAAUCUCUUCGGAGACAUAUAGACAGGUGGUGCAUGGUCGUCGUCAGCUCGUGUCGUGAGAUGUUGGGUUAAGUCCCGCAACGAGCGCAACCCUUACUGUUAGUUGCUACGCAAGAGCACUCUAGCAGGACUGCCGUUGACAAAACGGAGGAAGGUGGGGAUGACGUCAAAUCAUCAUGCCCCUUAUGACCUGGGCCUCACACGUACUACAAUGGCUGUCAACAGAGGGAAGCAAAGCCGCGAGGUGGAGCGAACCCCUAAAAGCAGUCUUAGUUCGGAUUGUAGGCUGCAACCCGCCUACAUGAAGUCGGAAUUGCUAGUAAUCGCAAAUCAGCAUGCUGCGGUGAAUACGUUCCCGGGCCUUGUACACACCGCCCGUCACGCCAUGGGAGUCGGUAACACCCGAAGCCUGUAGUCUAACCGCAAGGAGGACGCAGUCGAAGGUGGGAUUGAUGACUGGGGUGAAGUCGUAACAAGGUA